ACAGAGGUCUCGAGCGUUAGGCGGAAUCACUGGGCUUAAAGCGUGUGUAGGCGGAUGCCUAAGUACCUUGUGAAAUCCCACGGCUCAACCGUGGAGGGUCAUUGGAAACUGGAGGACUUGAGUACAGAAGAGGAAAGCGGAAUUCCACGUGUAGCGGUGAAAUGCGUAGAGAUGUGGAGGAACACCAGUGGCGUAGGCGGCUUUCUGGUCUGUAACUGACGCUGAGGCGCGAAAGCGUGGGGAGCAAACAGGA
rnacentral:rRNA from 1 species